UACAUUCUUCCUCUUUCUGUUGUGUGCCCAGGUGGCUCAGUCUACCCCUCCUUCCGUCUCUGACGACGCAAAGAGGACAGAACUUAGCGUGUGCCCAGAGCAUAAGGAAAUUAUUCUGGAGCUAAUAGCCUCGAAUGGCUGCAUUACUGAAGAUAGGGUAACGUUGUCCGGCAUCGCUGAUCAAUUCGCUGAUUUCCUUCUGGCAAACAAGGAGAAACUGGAUAAGCAAGUGGAAAAACAGGAGAUAAAACAAAAGAGAUCUCGCCGAUCUUGCUAUGCUAGACCCGUGCGUAAGUGUGAAUAUGUUUGUUAUACAACUUACGAGCACGAUUGCAGCAGUUGGUCAAAAUAACUGAAAAAUUAUAACUGUUUGUCAAAACUCUAUUAUACUUUUUUUUAAAUACAUUAGGUUAUUUUGAUUGUUGAAUCAUUUAGGUGGUUUUAUUUCUAUUUGUUUGUAUAAAUUUUAAUUAACGACCAUUCUCAGCAACUUAAUCCAAAGCUUCUAGAAUUGGAAUUUCUAUCAAUAUUACACCUUGAUUUAAAUAUAUUAUUAUUGUUGAAUCA